UCCAAACUAAAAAACAAAACCAACGCCUCCUCUCUUCUCCAAACUGACGCCUAAACUCUUUAGCUAAUAAACAAAACCCUUAUUUCAAUUAACCCUUUUCCGCUUCUGCUCGAGCGCAAAUCCGGCGACCGGCAGUCCGAAUCGCCGGCGGCUACUGGAUUGAAGCUCUACUGCAACUGAUAUUCAACAUAGCUCUGUAGUACAACAUUCCUCAGCAAUUUAUAUAUUACCAUGCUGCUCUUCAAACCUGUAAUGCAAUGCCUAAAAAUUUUAAACCUGGUGCAACAAUGAACAUCACGUUAGACACAUGACUAACUUCCUCUUAUUCCAAAUAACUUUCUGACUGCAGCAAUAACAUGUCACUAUUGGGCAUUCAUGCGGGACUUUAGUCAAGAAACCGUAGAUUCUUCCUCUUUGCCAUGUAAAAUAGUUUUGCAUAAAUUGGAACGGAGGGAGUAGUAAAGUAACAGAUAUCGUAUCCGUUCCAAACCUACCGCCCCAGGAACAAGUCUUACAUGGUGACAAACCUGAAUGCCCGAGAAGAUCAAAACUCGAUACUGAUUUGCCUUGUUUUUUAGCAAUCCAAUAAAAAGGGUUUUCAGAGCUUGAAAUUUCAACAUCAUGCUUUCUCAAAAAAAAAAAAGGUUUCAACUUCAUCUGCUGUGUUUGUUGGUGUGAAAUGGCAUUGGUACUUUGCCUGAGAACUCACUGACCAAAUUGGUUCCACUUGGGAGGCCUAUUUUCACAAAUCUUAGGCUUCCGCAAUGGAUUAAACUUGCCAUGCCGCAUCAUGUUGUCUCUGGCCAUUUUCAAUUUGUGGCAAAGCAUUGAUCAGGGAACAGAAGGUGUAUGAUCAGGGAACAGUAGGUGCAUGACAAGCGAGUACAUCCAUUACUCAGUGCUCUGUUUAGUAUUUGGACUAAGAGCUGCAAUACCCUCCGUGUCUUGAGGGAGAAUCCCCUACUGAUUAUUUUGGUUUGGCACAAUGCUCAACCUUAUUGGUAGACGUGGAUGUUUUUCUGCUGAACUAAAUGCAUCAAUUGCAUUCUUGUUCAUAGAUUCUUCAUCAAUCUUGCAAUGGCACCGAUCAAUGACCACCAGUAAAAGAGUCCAAGACAGAAGCAAGAAGAAGAGGGUGCAUGACCUUGAAAUAGCCACAGAAAAGCACAAGAUCCUCUCCAAAGUCCUAUUAAUAUUUGAAGUCCUCAAACAGGAACCUCAAAAAAUUAUAUCAAUUAGGGAACUUGAUCAGUAUAGGAGGCAAAUAAACCUCCCAAAGCCCCAUAAAAUCUCUGCUUUUCUGCGGAAGUCCCCCAAGCUCUUUGAACUGUACAAGGAUCAUAGAGGGAUUUUAUGGUGUGGUAUGACCAAGGAGGCUGAAGAUUUAGUCCAAGAAGAGGAGGCUAUUAUUGAACAGCAGAGUGAUAAAGCUGCAGAGCUUGUAACUAGGAUGCUGAUGAUGUCCGUGGACAAGCGCCUUGCCUUAGAUAAGAUUGUUCAUUUCAGAAGAGAUUUGGGGUUGCCAGUGGAUUUUAGGAACCAUUGGGUGCACAGAUUUCCUGAUUACUUUAGAGUUGUUUAUCCAUUUAAACCUUAUGAUGAAAGUGAGUAUUUAGAGCUUGUGAAUUGGAGAUCGAGUUGGGCUAUGACAGAGUUAGAAAGGAAGGCUCUGGGUGGUAUGCAGGUCCCAGAUGAUCACGUAGCUGGUCUUCUUUCCUUGUCUUUCCCAAUGAAAUUCCCACCUGAUUAUAAACAAAUUUUGUCUAGAUAUAAGGGGAAGAUAGAGAAUUUUCAGAAGCGGGAAUACUUGUCGCCUUAUGCAGAUGCCAGGGAACUAAAGGCUGGAACACUGGAGUUCAAUAAGAGGGCGGUUGCAGUGAUGCAUGAGCUGCUGAGCUUUACAAUCGAAAAGAGGUUGGUGACAGAUUAUCUGACACAUUUUAGGAUGGAGUUCGUAAUGCCUCAGAAGCUGAUGAGGCUGUUGCUUAAACAUUUUGGUAUCUUUUAUGUUUCAGAAAGGGGUAAGAGGUUUCAUGUAUUUCUUAAUAGUGCUUAUGAAGGUUCUGAGUUGAUUGAGAAGCACCCUUUGACUGUUUGGAGAGAACAGGUUCUAAGCUUUGUUGGAUACAGAAAGAAGAAGGAAACAAUGGAUACUAUUGAAGAUUUGCAGGAAUUCGUGGAUGAUGAUUUGCUUGAGAAUGAGUCAGAAGAUGAACGUGUUCAAGUGGAAAAUAACGAGCAUAAUAUGGGUAGUUUGGAGGGAGAUCUUCUGGAAGAUGAAUCCGAGAUGGAGAUUGAAGAUGUUUAUAGUGCAUACAGGGAAUGAGAAGUUAGAAGUGCAUACUAGCAUGAAGAAUUUUGAGUCUGGUUUAUUCGUGAAAAAUAAACUAGUAGUGUCAGGUAUGAUGUAGAUUUUAACCCCAAAAGAGAGAGUUUCUGGCCCCCUAUUUGGGUUGGUUACCAAGAUGAUGACCAUAUUGGUUUAUAUGAAUGCUCUGAACUCUGAAGUUAAUAGUUGCUCCUGUUGUCGUGCAUUGUCCGUGGAUGGUUCUACAACCGUUUAAUCACACAUUCUCACUAAAGUUAUGGCUGAAGUUGAUCUGCUAGCAGAUUUCUUAGAACAAGUUUUGGUCUUCAAGAUGUUAUCAUCAAGGACAUGAUGAAGGUGAAUGAUGUGAAGCUAUACAAUUGAACUCAUAUGGAAUUGCUUCUCCAGGAGAACAACAAAGCUGUUCGAUAUAUCUUUGACAAGAUGACAAUAGACACAUGACCUUAGAACAGUGCUGAAUGAAAGAUGUGGCACGGUGGAAUCAUGGCAGGUCAACAUCAGGUUCAAAUACUGAGAAAGAAGACUUUUUUUUUUUUUUUUUUUUUUUUCUGAUUAAAAAAAGAAGUGAAAUUUAAUAGUGUCAUUGACGAAGCAGAUUGUGAAGCAUGUGAUUCUGAUCUGUGACAAACUGGAUGAUAAUAAAAUACUGUAAGCCACCAUUUAUCUCCUCAAUUUUAGGGGUGCAAAUGGGCCAAUUAAUUAGCAUGUGGUUUUUUACUAGUGAAUGAUUAUAAAAAAAAAGUACGCCAGUUUAAAUAAAAGCAUUUUUUCCAUCUA